rnacentral:lncRNA from 1 species
AAAAUUUGAAAAAAAAAAAAAAAAAAAAAAAAAAUUUUGAAUGUUGAAUGUUGAAUAUUGAAAUCGAAUGUUGAAUGUUGAAAUCGAAUGUUGAAUGUUGAAAAUGGAUACGAAAAAAAAAAAAAAAAAAAAAAAAAAAAUUUGAAUGUUGAAUACUGCAAUUGAAUGUUGAAUGUUGAAAUCGAAUGUUGAAUGUUGAAAAAAAUGGAUACGAGAAAAAAAAGAAAAAAAAAUUGCAAUGAGAAAAAAAAAAAAAAAAAAAUUGAAUGUUGAAUGUUGAAUAUUGAAAUCGAAUGUUGAAUGUUGAAAUCGAAUGUUGAAUGUUGAAAAUGGAUACGAGAAAAAAAAAAAAAAAAAAAAAAAAAAAUUGGAAUGUUGAAUGUUGAAUAUUGAAAUCGAAUGUUGAAUGUUGAAAUCGAAUGUUGAAUGUUGAAAAUUGAAUGUUGAAUGUUGAAUGUUGAAUGUUGAAUAUUGAAAUCGAAUGUUGAAUGUUGAAAUCAAAUGUUAAAUGUUGAAAAUGGA